AGACUGUGCCUUUCAGGCAUCCUCUCCUAAAAACUUUUCGGCCGCUCUCUGAGCGGCCUUUUUUUUGGUCUGC
rnacentral:sRNA from 2 species